rnacentral:lncRNA from 1 species
AUGACUUUUAAAAAUAAGCGAAUAACGGACAGAUUUGAUACUUACCUCUAGAGCGUCUAGGUGACGUAUAUUCUUGCUUCCACAAUUAUUCCUCUAUAUAUCGGCUAUGUCUAAGGCUAUGAUGAUCUCUAAUAUCUAUGGUAAUGCUUCUUAGAGUCAUUGAGAUUUUACGUUUCCAUAUCGUAUUAAAGGUUCAUAAUCUUGAUAAAACAUUAAUCUUUGGUAAUACUCCUUGCUGGUUCACGUUGAUUGUUCUAUUGAGUUAUAAGAAAUGAUUUUAAUUGCAUAUGGUUGCUCAUAAUAUUCUGCUCGUGCAUAGAGUCAUUUAUCAUUUCACCGAGUCCCGGGCCGGGUAAUGUUCGUGCGGAGUUUCUUGCAUAUGUCACCGAGUUCCUCACUAGAGGGCCGGGUAUGUAUAUUAUAUAUAUGAUUGGUGAUGAGGAUGGUUAUGAUGAUGAUGAUGACGGAGAUGACGUGAUGAUUAUUUUGCUGAGCCCCUUACUAGGGAAACUGGGCACCUUAAAUGUUAAAUAUAUGCAUGAUUUUCACUUAAAAGGGUAUAUGUGUAGCGAUAUUUUGUUUCGACUUGCCAUAUUUGUAUCCUGUCAUCCUUACCUUAUGCUUUACAUACUCAGUACAUUGUCCGUACUGACCCCCCUUUCCUCGGGGGGUUGCGUUUCAUGCCCGCAAGUGUAGACGCACAAUUCGGUGAUCCUCCCGCCUAGGAUAUCUACUCUGCUGAUUGGGAGAGCUCCACUGUUCCGGAGCCCAGUCGUUUUGGUACAUAACUUUUGUGUAGUCUUUUGCUCGUCUAUGGGUAUGGCGGGGCCCUGUCCCGUCGAGUUUUACUAAUGUACUCUUAGAGGUCUGUGGACAUUAUGUGGGUUGUAUAUAUAUGUUUUGGAUAAUGGUCUGGACAUGGUUUGUUUGGGAUGUCCGCUUGUACAGGGGCAGCCUUGUCGGCUGCGUACAUCAUUGUGUAUUGUGUAGUGGCAACCUUGUCGGCAUACGUAUGUUAUUAUGCUUUGAAUAGUGGCGGCCUUGUCGGCUCACGUAUGCUGUUAUGGUUGAAUGAUUAUGACUUCUUAUGAGACAGGUCCUCUUAUAUAUAUAUGACGUUGGGGUUGGCUUGAUUUGAUUAAAUUCCAUAUUGUCUUAGUUUCAGUUGGUUAUACUUAGCAGGUUUGUAUGUAGGCGUCCAAAAUGGGCAUUAGUCACGGCCCAUCGGGUUGGGUCGUGACAAAGAGUGGUAUCAGAGCGGUUCUUCCUCGGAAGUGUCUACAGACCGUGUCUAGUAGAGUCUUCUUUAUCGGUGUGUUGUGCACCACAUCUAUAAACAGGAAGCUACAGGACAUUUAGGAUGUCAUUAUUUCUUCUUAUUCUAGAUCGUGCGAUAGAGCUAUAUUAACAGGAUAAUCCCUCUCUAACGAAUCCAUGUGUUUUCAGCUAUGCCUCCAAAGAAAGCGACAACCGCCCAGAAGGGAAAAUCUGUAGCAGAAGGUACUAGUCAGACCUGGAGAGUUACUAGGGCCCGUGCCCACUCUAUGCCUAGUAUUAUUCUCUAGUCGGAGAGCUCUGCUACACCCCCACCGCCAGAAGAGCUUAGAGCAGCAGCAGCUCCAGUUCGGGGGACACCACCAGCCUCCGAGGCCCCAACAUUUGAACCUCCAGCUCCUCAGUCAGGGGCAGAGGAUAGGGCCACGAGAGAUGCGGUUCAAUUGCUGACUAGAUUAGUGGCAGAUCAGGCUCACAGGCAUGGACUAGGAGUUGAUCAUGCGGACUGAUCUGAUAGCUUAAGGGCUCGUGACUUCUUAAGUUGUAAUCCUCCAGAGUUCUUUGGGUCAAGGCCCCAGGAUGAUCUGCAAGAGUUUAUUCGUCAGAUGCAGCGUACAUUGAGGAUAAUCAAGGCUUCGGAGACCGAGUCUGUUGAGUUGGCUACGUACUCUUUGCGGGAUGUAGCUAUUAAUUGGUAUGAGUCUUGGGAGUUAUCUAGGGGUGAGGGUGCUCCUCCAACGGUAUGGGAUGAAUUUGUGGAGGCUUUCCAGGGCCACUUCCUGCCUCCAGAGAUGAAGCGAGCUAGAGUCGAUAGAUUCUUGCGUUUAAAGCAAAAUGACAGGAGCGUUCGAGAGUAUAGCCUCGAGUUUGAUUCAUUGGCUAGGCAUGCGCCUACUAUUGUGGCUGAUAUGGCAGACAGGGUACAUCGUUAUGUGAUGGGAUUGGAUCGUUAUUUGAUUGACGGUUGUAUGGCAAUGACUCUUCAGCUAGGUAUGGACAUUGCUCGGGUGCAUGCAUAUGCACAGGUGGUAGAGGAUCGACACCGGGGACAUUUGCCAGAUAGAGAUUAUAAUAGAGGCCAGCAUAAGAGGGCUAGAUCAGCAGGUUAUCCUGACGAGUUUCAAAGUGGGCAGUCUCAGCAGCAUGUUAGAUUUUCUUCCCAGCCAGCACAGAGUGCACCCCCACGUUUCAUGGGUAGGGGGUUCGAUCGUAUGGGAUAUUCGGAAGCUGGUCAGAGCUCUAGGGCGUCAGGGUCACAGAUGGGCAGGGGUUUGAGCCAGUCGAGGCCACCUUUGCCUCGGUGUUCUCGUUGUGGUAAGUCCCAUCCUGGGGAAUGUCGUUGGGCUACAGAUACGUGUUUUUCUUGCGGCCGUCAGGGCCAUACUAUGAGGGAGUGUCACCUUAGAGGUAGUGCAGGUGGUAUGGCACAGCCUACAGGGUCCGUUGCUGGUUCAUCUUCUUCUGUGGCUAUGCGCCCUACGGGGCAGGGUAUUCAGGCGCCAGCAGGCCGUGGUAGAGGACGUGGUGGAACUUCCAGUUCUAGCGGUCCCUCAAACCGUAUAUAUGCUUUGACUAAUAGGCAAGAUCAGGAGGCGUCACCUAAUGUGAUCACAGGUAUAUUAUCACUAUUCUCCCGAAGUAUGUAUGCAUUGAUAGACCCAGGUUCCACCUUAUCAUAUAUAUCUCCCUUUGUUGCUAGUAGGAUCGGAAUAGCGUCUGAGUUGAUAGAACCAUUUGAGGUAGUUACACCUGUAGGAGAUUUUGUCAUAGCUACGCGAGUAUAUAGGAAUUGUUCAGUAGUUAUAUAUAGUCGUCGUACCGUAGCAGAUCUAAUAGAGUUAAGUAUGAUUGAGUUUGAUAUUAUCAUGGGCAUGGAUUGGUUGGCUGCUUGUUAUGCUAAUGUUGAUUGCAGAGGAAAGAUAGUUCGAUUUCAAUUUCCAGGGGAACCAAUUAUAGAGUGGAAGGGAAGUACAGUAUCGCCGAAAGGUAAGUUCAUUUCAUACCUCAAGGCCGGGAAGAUGGUUAGAAAAGGCUAUAUUUACCAUCUGAUUCGGGUGCAUGACAUAAAGGCAGAGGCACCGACUCUUCAAUCAGUCCCGGUAGUUAAUGAAUUUCUCGAUGUAUUCCCCGAGGAACUUCCAGGCCUUCCUCCAGAACGGGAGAUAGAGUUUACUAUAGAUGUACUGCCAGAUACCCAGCCUAUAUCUAUACCUCCUUAUAGAAUGGCACCUGCUGAGUUGAAAGAAUUGAAAGAGAGAUUGAGGGAUUUGCUUGAAAAGGGCUUCAUCAGGCCUAGUACAUCACCUUGGGGAGCACCGGUACUGUUUGUGAGGAAGAAGGAUGGGUCGUUGCGGAUGUGCAUUGAUUAUAGGCAGUUGAACAAAGUAACAAUAAAGAACAGGUAUCCCCUCCCAAGGAUUGAUGAUCUAUUUGACCAGUUGCAGGGUGCAAAGUGUUUUUCAAAGAUAGACUUGCGGUCAGGUUAUCAUCAGGUGCGGGUAAGGGAGGCAGAUAUUCCAAAGACGUCAUUCCGGACCCGAUAUGGGCAUUAUGAGUUUAGAGUGCUGUCUUUUGGGCUGACUAAUGCUCCAGCGGUGUUCAUGGAUUUAAUGAAUCGAGUAUUUAAACCAUUCCUUGAUAUGUUUGUUAUUGUAUUUAUAGACGAUAUUCUGGUCUAUUCACGUUCAGAAGAGGAGCAUGCAGAUCAUUUAAGGACGGUACUUAGGGUGCUUCAGCACCAGAAGUUGUAUGCUAAAUUUUCUAAGUGCGAGUUCUGGUUGACUUCAGUGGCAUUCUUGGGGCAUAUUAUUGGAGUUGAUGGUAUUCGGGUAGACACGCAGAAGAUUGAGGCAGUAAAGACUUAGCCCAGACCUACGACACCUACUGAGGUACGCAACUUUUUGGGGUUAGCAAGAUAUUACAGGAGAUUCGUAGAAAAGUUUGCCUCAAUUUCAGCGCCUUUGACAAGGCUAACUCAAAAGGCAGCCAAGUUCCAGUGGACAGAUGCUUGUGAGCGAAGCUUCCAGCUAUUCAAAGACAAAUUGACUACAGCUCCAUUCCUAACUCUUCCGGAGGGACCAGACGGCUAUGUUAUUUAUUGUGAUGCUUCGGGUGUUGGGCUAGGAUGUGUAUUGAUGCAGCAUGGCAAAGUUAUAGUCUAUGCCUCCCGACAACUUAGGAAGCAUGAAAAGAACUAUCCUACUCACGAUCUGGAGUUAGCGGUCGUGGUUCAUGCCUUGAAGAUAUGGAGACAUUAUUUAUAUGGUGUCCAUGUGGACAUCUAUACAGAUCAUAAGAGUCUCCAAUAUAUCUUUAAACAGAAGGAGCUGAACUUACGACAAAGGCGGUGGUUAGAGUUGCUAAUGGAUUAUGAUGUUGAUAUUUUAUAUCAUCCAGGGAAAGCGAAUGUUGUAGCAGAUGCUCUUAGCCAUAAGUCCAUGGGUAGCUUGAAGGAUGUACAACCAGAAGGGAGGGAUAUGGUUCGGGAGAUUCAGCGGCUAUCCAGCCUUGGAGUCCGUCUAGCUAAUUCGGAAGAUAGUGAAGUUUCUAUUCGAGAGGUUGAUGAGUCCUCAAUCAUAGAUGAGGUAAAGAGACACCAAUACAAGGACCCUAUUCUGGCACAGUAUAGAGAUGCAACUCUUUAAAAGGAAAAGACCCCAUUUAAGGUUACACCUGACGGAGUGUUACGAUAUGAAGGCAGAUUGUGUGUACCCGAUACUGUGGGGCUACGACGGCAGGUUAUUGGAGAGGCACACUCUGCCCGUUAUUCUAUUCACCCAGGGUCAACGAAAAAGUAUCAUGACCUCAGAUGCUUAUAUUGGUGGGAUGGCAUGAAAACGGACAUUGCGGAGUUUGUUGCUCAGUGCCCAAAUUGUCAACAAGUCAAGAUCGAACAUCAAAAGCCUUGUGGAUUAUUACAGGAGAUAGAGAUCCCAACUUGGAAAUGGGAGAUGAUUAAUAUGGACUUCAUUACAGGCUUACCUCGCACUCAACGGAAGUAUGACUCUAUAUGGGUUAUUGUAGAUAGGCUGACGAAAUCGGCCCAUUUUCUUCCAGUCAGGACUACUUAUUCGGCUGAAGAUUAUGCGAGGUUAUAUGUCAGGGAGAUAGUGAGACUUCAUGGGGUUCCCACGUCCAUUAUAUCAGACAGAGGAGCUCAAUUUACAGCCAACUUUUGGAGAUCGUUUCAGAAGGGAUUGGGGACACAGGUGAACCUUAGCACAACAUUUCACCCUCAGACUGAUGGGCAGACUGAGCGUACUAUUCAAACACUAGAAGAUAUGAUGCGGGCCUGUAUUAUUGACUUCAAAGGCAGCUGGGAUGACCACUUGCCGCUCGUUGAGGUUGCCUAUAAUAAUAGCUACCAUUCUAGUAUCCAGAUGGCACCGUACGAGGCCUUAUAUGGGAGGAAGUGCAGAUCACCUAUUGGUUGGUUUGAUGUUGGCAAGACUAAGUUAAUAGGCCCGGAUGUGAUUCAGCAAGCUGUUGACAAGGUGAAGCUUAUUCAAGAAAGAUUAUUAGCAGCCCAGAGUCGACAGAAGUCAUAUGCAGAUAAUCGGCGUCGAGAUUUGGAGUUUCAGAUUGGUGACUGGGUAUUCCUGAAGGUAUCACCCAUGGGGGGUGUGAUGAGAUUCGGCAGGAAGGGGAAGCUCAGUCCGAGAUACAUUGGGCCUUAUCAGAUUGUUGGUAGGAUAGGCAAGGUUACCUAUGAGUUGGAUCUACCAUCUGAAUUGGAGGCAGUACAUCCAGUCUUCCAUGUAUCGAUGCUACGUAAAUGUAUUGGUGAUCCUUCUAGAGUAUUCCCUGUAGAUGAUAUUCAGGUAACAGAGGAGUUGUCAUAUGAGGAGAAACCCGUGGCUAUACUUGAUCGUCAGGUUAGAAGGUUACGUACUAAGGAUGUGGCUUCCAUCAAAGUGUUGUGGCAAAAUAACAAUAGGGAGGAGAUGAAUUGGGAAGCGGAAGACGAAAUGAAGAAUAAUUAUCCUUACUUAUUCCCCGUACCUGCAGGUAAUUCAAUUCCUAGCUUGACUAUAUUGAUAGAUAAUGAGAUUAUGUAGCUGUGAGGCAUAUGUAAGUUACGGAAUGCAGGUUGAUAGGUAUAACUUUUAGAGAGACCUCGCUGGAAUUUGUUUUUGCAAGACGCUAACUUAACAUUCGAGGACGAAUGUUCCUAAGGGGGGAAGGAUGUUAUGCCUCGUAUUUUUUUAUACGUAGUGCGCAUCGUGAUCUAUAAGACGUAAAGAAAUAUUAGGCAAGGAUGUUAUUUCCAAAUGUGAUAUUAAGUAUGAGUUGGCUAAUGUAAGUGCCAUUAACUUUAAGUGAGGGAUUAAUUAGUGGAUAAUUUGGAUUGAUUUAAUCCAAUGGGCCCCACCAAUCAUAAUUGGUGGCUGAUUAGGAUUAAUUUAAUCUAGUGGGCCCCACCACUCAAGGCAAAAAUUAAAAAGGGAUCAGAUUGUGGGUUGGCCUUAGUGGACAGGUGUAGCCCCGCCUCCACUUCAUACUAUUAAAUGAGGUGGAGAAAUCCACUCCAUGCUAUAUAAAGUGGUGAAAUACAUUGUUGCAUAUCAUCUUCUUCUUCACCACUUGUCUUAGGCAACCAAGGAAAUGGAGAAACCAACCCUCAACUCUUGGCCAGCAGCUGCAAAUAAUUUGGUUAGUAAUCUCCUUGUUUGGUGUGUUAAUUAUUUAGAAUACCUUUGUUAAUUAUCCAUUAAUUAUAAGAAGGGGGCUUGACCAGUAGCUUAGGAAGUUUGUUUUAGUUAUUGAAUGUACUAAGUAUGAAUGGAAACCAUAAUCGGAUUAUUAGUGGUGUCGUGUUGGUGCUUGGGCUAUUUUGAUUAAAGCAAACUGCGGGAAAAUUCUGUUUUGGCAUUAUAUAUAUGUUAAAUGUGAUUAUGAGUAUAUACUACAAAGGAUGAAUACAAUAAGGUAGAUGUGUUGCGAAUUAUAAAACGAGUUAUCGCUCGGUGUGUCGUUGCUUCGCUGCUAUGGUUGCCGAGACGGAACUGUUUUGGGGAGGGGGCUGUUUAAUAUGAUUCGUUGGGUUAUAUGUGUUAUUGGUAUUGCUGUGGAUAAUUUGGGUUGUUGUCGUAUUGGGACGAAGUAAGGAAAAUAGGGGAAGUGCUGCCGGAUUUUCGUUAGAUUAUUAGCUAGCUUACAAGAAAGUAAAGCGCGAUGUUUAUCUAAUUGCGGCACGAUUGUUGCUUGUUAUAGAUUAAUAGCUUGAGUAGUAAAUAUUGGACGUGUGGCCCGAUUAUACGGUAUGUAACGCUGUCCCUUCUUUCUUUGUUUGGCAUGACUUUUAAAAAUAAGCGAAUAACGGACAGGUUUGAUACUUACCUCUAGAGCGUCUAGGUGACGUAUAUUCUUGCUUCCACAAUUAUUCCUCUAUAUAUCGGCUAUGUCUAAGGCUAUGAUGAUCUCUCAUAUCUACGGUAGUGCUUCUUAGAGUCAUUGAGAUUUUACGUUUCCAUAUCGUAUUAAAGGGUUCAUAAUCUUGAUAAAACAUUAAUCUUUGGUAAUACUCCUUGCUGGUUCACGUUGAUUGUUCUAUUGAGUUAUAAGAAAUGAUUUUAAUUACAUAUGGUUGCUCAUAAUAUUUUGCUCGUGCAUAGAGUCAUUUAUCAUUUCACCGAGUCCCGGGCCGGGUAAUGUUCGUGCGGAGUUCCUUGCAUAUGUCACCGAGUUCCUCAGUAGAGGGCCGGGUAAUGUUCGUGCGGAGUUUCUUGCAUAUGUCACCGAGUUCCUCACUAGAGGGCCGGGUAUGUAUAUUAUAUAUAUGAUUGGUGAUGAGGAUGGUUAUGAUGAUGAUGAUGACGGAGAUGACGUGAUGAUUAUUUUGCCGAGCCCCUUACUAGGGAAGCUGGGCACCUUAAAUGUUAAAUAUAUGCAUGAUUUUCACUUAAAAGGGUAUAUGUGUAGCGAUAUUUUGUUUCGACUUGCCAUAUUGGUAUCCUGUCAUCU